rnacentral:rRNA from 1 species
CCAGACUCCUACGGGAGGCAGCAGUGAGGGAUAUUGGGCAAUGGGGGAAACCCUGACCCAGCGACGCCGCGUGAGGGAAGACGGCCUUCGGAUUGUAAACCUCUGUCUUUGGGGACGAAAAAGGACGGUACCCAAGGAGGAAGCUCCGGCUAACUACGUGCCAGCAGCCGCGGUAAUACGUAGGGAGCGAGCGUUGUCCGGAAUUACUGGGUGUAAAGGGAGCGCAGGCGGGAAGCCAAGUCAGCUGUGAAAACUACGGGCUUAACUUGUAGACUGCAGUUGAAACUGGUUUUCUUGAGUGAAGUAGAGGUUGGCGGAAUUCCGAGUGUAGCGGUGAAAUGCGUAGAUAUUCGGAGGAACACCGGUGGCGAAGGCGGCCAACUGGGCUUUAACUGACGCUGAGGCUCGAAAGUGUGGGGAGCAAACAGGAUUAGAUACCCCAGUA